GACGAACGCUGGCGGCGUGCCUAAUACAUGCAAGUCGAACGCUUCUUUCCUCCCGAGUGCUUGCACUCAAUUGGAAAGAGGAGUGGCGGACGGGUGAGUAACACGUGGGUAACCUACCCAUCAGAGGGGGAUAACACUUGGAAACAGGUGCUAAUAUCGCAUAACAGUUUAUGCCGCAUGGCAUAAGAGUGAAAGGCGCUUUCGGGUGUCGCUGAUGGAUGGACCCGCGGUGCAUUAGCUAGUUGGUGAGGUAACGGCUCACCAAGGCCACGAUGCAUAGCCGACCGGAGAGGGGGAUCGGCCACACGGGGACUGAGACACGGCCCAGACGCCUACGGGAGGCAGCAGUAGGGAAUCUUCGGCAAUGGACGAAAGUCUGACCGAGCAACGCCGCGUGAGUGAAGAAGGUUUUCGGAUCGUAAAGCUCUGUUGUUAGAGAAGAACAAGGACGUUAGUAACUGAACGUCCCCUGACGGUAUCUAACCAGAAAGACACGGCUAACUACGUG
rnacentral:rRNA from 1 species